rnacentral:lncRNA from 1 species
GGUACUCUAGCCUGGGCAACAGAGUGAGACUCCAUGUCAAAAAAAAAAAAAAAAACCAAAGAUAAAAUAUGUAAAAUUUCAUUAUAGAUGAGUAUUAACAGAUGAGAAUUUGCAAUCAAUUUUGAUGAUAGGUAAAAUAAACCUUGAAUCUCAAUUAAGCAAAAUGCUAUUUCCCAGUAAAUAAUUCAAUUGUUUUUAUCAGUAGAUUCAUAUUAUAAGUCUACUUAAUUAUUCUUAGGUUUUUAUUUUAGUCAAUAAAAAUAUGGAAAUGUGGCUUCUUGUUUGAUAUAUAAGCAGACAUAUGAUAUCUUCAAUUUUGCCUUUUGGCCAAUGAAGCCUAAAACUUUUACUAUCUGAUAUUUUACCAAAAUAAUUUGCACCCUGCUUUGUCAUUGACUGUCAUAAAUUAUCAACUGAAGUGUUCUUGAGUAGAAAAGUUUUACCUGUCUUCUACUUAGGUACAAGCAACUGAGGCUCUGUAGAGUACUUAACACCUUUGCUGAUAACUUGUACACUAUCAUUUCCACAUUGCUCUUUGAUCUUCCCUUUAAACAUUCUUGUCAUUCAUCCUUGCCUUAGAGCCUCUGCCCUAGAUAAUCUUUCUGUCUGAACCUCUUGUCUUCUAACAUCUGUCUCUUUCUCACCAUUUAAAUCUCAUAAAUAAUAUUAGCUCUUCAGAAAGACCUUCUCUAAGCACUAUAUACAAUGCUGCCCAUCCCACCAGACCCCAUAAGUAAUAUCUCUAUAUUUAAAUUUUCUUUAAAAUAUGUAACACUAUAUUAAUAAAUGUAUUCAUUUAUUUGUAUAUUUAUUAAAAGUUGGUCUCCCAGUUUUCCCUAUGAUAAAUAUUUAUAAGAAAACAAUGAUUUUUUUUUCCAAUUACUGAAUGACUUAAGUAGAUUAUACUUUGCGACUGUAGGAACUAUGACAUAAUUUUAGCACAGUGGUUAAUACAUAUUUAAUAAUGCAAAAUGAAUGAUUAAUUAGAUUCUACUUGUUGCUAACAAUUUCUAGUCAGGACUAAAGGAACUAACACUUCUGUACUCAUAAAUUAAUAAAAAGUCACUUUGAAUUGACUCAUAGUUUUCAUUUAUCAUGCACUCCUCUAAUUUUCCUUCCCAUUUUGGUUUUUAUUCUGAUUUAAUUCAUUUUUUUAAUCAAUUGUGAUCAACAAAUCAUAUAUGUGAUAGGAAGAUAACAGGUUCUCACAGGUCCUGAGAAUAACCUUGUACAAAAAUAGAUUUUUGAUUUAAAUUGCCUAUUACCAUAGAGUCAAAAUAUGCUUUUGUAAAUCUAUAACUUGACAGUUGUGAUUCUGCUCUAUUUGAACUUAACUAGUCAUUCCACUACAAGUAACAUUAUAACUGGUAUUUUGCUUUUAAUUUAGCUACCUCAGACUUGUCCUUAUUGACCUUCACCCCUGAUUUUAUGUAACUAUUUAUCUAACCUGCCAAGACCAUGACAAAUGCCCCCAGGGUAUACUGUGAUUGAAUGUGAAAUUUCUGCAGUGAGAAGAAUCCCCCUAGGCAAUGUUAAGAAAGACACCAGAAAACUCUGACCCUUAAAUUUAAGUCUAGUUGGUUUCCCAUUAAUUCAGAAGUCCUAAAAUAAAGAAGAAAUGUGCCACCUUUAUACAUGCAGAUGCAUACACAGGAUAUGCCAAUAAGUGGAGCAUCUAGUAUUGUGCAUCAGAUGCAAAAUAACUAGGGGGAAAAAAAAGCAAAGCACAUGCUGCUUUUUAAAAUAAAAUGUUUUACAAUAUGUAGAAUUAUGUUUUUUUGUUUGUUUGUUUUUUGAGACGGCGUCUCGCUCUGUUGCCCAGGCU